rnacentral:rRNA from 1 species
AAUAGGCUAAUUAAGAGCGUAAGGGGAAUGCCUUGGCUCUCAGAGGCGAUGAAGGACGUGAUAAGCUGCGAUAAGCUGUGGGGAGUGGCACAAACACUUUGAUCCGCAGAUUUCCGAAUGGGGUAACCCGGCAUAUUGAAGAUAUGUCACACUGUAAAGUGAGCGAACCUGGUGAACUGAAACAUCUAAGUAACCAGAGGAAUAGAAAACAAAAGUGAUUCCGCUAGUAGUGGCGAGCGAACGUGGAACAGCCUAAACCUAUGUUGUUAAGCAAUAUAGGGGUUGUAGGACCUCAACAUUUAAUGCUAAUAGAACUAGAAUUUACUGGAAAGUAAAACCAUA